AACGAACGCUGGCGGCAGGCUUAACACAUGCAAGUCGAACGAGCUGGGAACUUCGGUUCCCGAUGCUAGUGGCGCACGGGUGAGUAACACGUGGGAACGUACCCUUUAGUACGGAAUAACUCAGGGAAACUUGAGCUAAUACCGUAUGACUCCUUCGGGAGAAAGAUUUAUCGCUAAAGGAACGGCCCGCGUCUGAUUAGGUAGUUGGUGAGGUAACGGCUCACCAAGCCGACGAUCAGUAGCUGGUCUGAGAGGAUGAUCAGCCACACUGGGACUGAGACACGGCCCAGACUCCUACGGGAGGCAGCAGUGGGGAAUAUUGGACAAUGGGGGCAACCCUGAUCCAGCCAUGCCGCGUGAGUGAAGAAGGCCU
rnacentral:rRNA from 1 species